GACAGAGGGUGCAAACGUUGUUCGGAAUUACUGGGCGUAAAGGGCUCGUAGGUGGCCAACUAAGUCAUACGUGAAAUCCCUCGGCUUAACCGGGGAACUGCGUCUGAUACUGGAUGGCUUGAGUUUGGGAGAGGGACGCGGAAUUCCAGGUGUAGCGGUGAAAUGCGUAGAUAUCUGGAGGAACACCGGUGGCGAAGGCGGCGUCCUGGACCAACACUGACACUGAGGAGCGAAAGCCAGGGGAGCAAACGGG
rnacentral:rRNA from 1 species